rnacentral:rRNA from 1 species
AGCAGUAGCCGCGGGAAUACGUAGGUCCCGAGCGUUGUCCGGAUUUAUUGGGCGUAAAGCGAGCGCAGGCGGUUAGAUAAGUCUGAAGUUAAAGGCUGUGGCUUAACCAUAGUACGCUUUGGGAACUGUUUAACUUGAGUGCAAGAGGGGAGAGUGGAAUUCCAUGUGUAGCGGUGAAAUGCGUAGAUAUAUGGAGGAACACCGGUGGCGAAAGCGGCCCUCUGGCUUGUAACUGACGCUGAGGCUCGAAAGCGUGGGGAGCAAACAGGAUUAGAUACCCGUGUAGUCCCUGUCUCUUAUACA